AGUGAACGCUAGCGGUAGGCCUAACACAUGCAAGUCGGACGGCAGCACAGUAAGAGCUUGCUCUUACGGGUGGCGAGUGGCGGACGGGUGAGGAAUACAUCGGAAUCUACUUUUUCGUGGGGGAUAACGUAGGGAAACUUACGCUAAUACCGCAUACGACCUACGGGUGAAAGCAGGGGAUCUUCGGACCUUGCGCGAUUGAAUGAGCCGAUGUCGGAUUAGCUAGUUGGCGGGGUAAAGGCCCACCAAGGCGACGAUCCGUAGCUGGUCUGAGAGGAUGAUCAGCCACACUGGAACUGAGACACGGUCCAGACUCCUACGGGAGGCAGCAGUGGGGAAUAUUGGACAAUGGGCGCAAGCCUGAUCCAGCCAUACCGCGUGGGUGAAGAAGGCCUUCGGGUUGUAAAGCCCUUUUGUUGGGAAAGAAAAGCAGCAGGUUAAUACCCCGCUGUUCUGACGGUACCCAAAGAAUAAGCACCGGCUAACUUCGUG
rnacentral:rRNA from 1 species